AUUGAACGCUGGCGGCAGGCCUAACACAUGCAAGUCGAGCGAGCGGCGGACGGGUGAGUAUUGUCUGGGAAACUGCCUGAUGGGGGGGGAUAACUACUGGAAACGGUAGCUAAUAUCGCAUACCAUCAGAUGUGCCCCGAUGGGGUUGUCUAUUGGGUGGGGUAACGGCUCACCCAGGCGACGAUCCCUAGCUGGUCUGAGAGGAUGACCAGCCACACUGGAACUGAGACACGGUCCAGACUCCUACGGGAGGCAGCAGUGGGGAAUAUUGCACAAUGGGCGCAAGCCUGAUGCAGCCAUGCCGCGUGUGUGAAGAAGGCCUUCGGGUUGUAAAGCACUUUCAGCGGGGAGGCGUUACCCGCAGAAGAAGCACCGGCUAACUCCGUGCCAGCAGCCGCGGUAAUAC
rnacentral:rRNA from 1 species